rnacentral:rRNA from 1 species
GUCCACGCCGUAAACGAUGAGUGCUAGGUGUCACGGGCUUUGACCCUCGUGGUGCCGAAGCUAACGCGUUAAGCACUACGCCUGGGGAGUACGGCCGCAAGGCUAAAACUCAAAGGAAUUGACGGGGGCCCGCACAAGCGGUGGAGCAUGUUGUUUAAUUCGACGCAACGCGAAGAACCUUACCUGGGCUAGAAAACACGAGAAUCCGGGCGAAAGUUCGGAGUGCCUUUCGGGGAACUCGUGGUUAGGUGCUGCAUGGCUGUCGU